UCAUUUUGAUCUCUUCUUGUGUUCUUCCUGCAGAGUUCUGCCUGUUUCCAAACCAACCAGUUGUGGAUGGCACCAAAUUUCCACUCAGUACAAAUGGCUGAGAACUUGUCACUCACCCAGUACCCAGCAGUCUAGGAUUAUAGAUGACAUUUCUUUUGCUGUUGUCUAGAUUUAAAUGGCUUGCAGCAGCACCUACCUUACUGGCAUCUUCAUGGCAAGAUGCUCCGAAAGUGGGGCUAGCCAGGUGUGGUGAGGCACACUAUUGUCUCAGCACCCAGGAGGCUGAGGCAGAGGGAUUGCAUGCCUUUGAGGCCAGCUAUAUAGUGAGUUCCAAGCCGGCCAAAGUUAAAUAUGAAGACUCUCUAAAAUAAAAAUGCACAUACAGAAAGCACUAAAAUGGGGCCGACAGCAUACGGGUUAUUUGGGCAGGACAGUGGCUGUGAAGUUGGACACUAGGGGCAGAGGGAAUGGGAAGUAAUGGAGGACUAACAAUAGUCAGCUGACAAGGGCUGAAGAUGACUCGGCUAGAUGCUCAGAGGGAAGAUCCCUCCCUCACCUUCAUUCUGUUGAUCCCAACCACUUCUUAGGGACAAGCAUGUGGCCCUCAGCACCAGUGGGAGCGCCACCACUUCUUAUUAGACCAGAGGCCUGUUAGAGGGUUCUAGAAAGUGAGACAAGCAAUGGCCUUUGGGGGAUCUCAUGACUAUAUUGGUUUGGAAUCAGGAGGAUGCGAAUCUGAACCACUACACAUACUCGAUGCUUUUUAAUUUCCAAAUCUAAUAAAAGGGGUCAGGCUGUGUCCAACAUUCGGGUCAUGUCAGAAAUAAGGUACAUUUGUUUAAACAGAUGACUCACUAAUAAACCACUUAUUUCUUUCUUCUGGUUUCCUCAUAAAAGCCAGUGAACACGUGGAGCUGGAUUCCUCAGGACUUCCUGGUCAGGCUGUGGGACAUACCAUAGAUGUCACAAAGGACGGACCAGAAGGAAGUGGUGUGGGAUUGGUCCUGUGACUGCCCCUAGGUCUUGCCCUUGUGAGUCUAGACCUGGGCUAACCUGCGGAGGCAGAGCUGAGAACCUGUGCCCUCUAAUUUGAUUAACAUGCUUCAUUGGCUCUAACAUAACACACCUGACCUGAGCAGAAGUGUUCACCUGCGUUCAAAACGCAAGCUAAACAUGCAUUCAUGUGUCCUCCACCUCAUAGGCUUGAAUUCCACAAAUUCAGGAGAACCAUAAGCAAGACCCGAGAUAAGGAAGAGCUUGAACCCCACUGACUUCAUCUGCUGAUUUGUGUUGCCAACCGGAUUGCUUUUGCUUGGUCUCCCAUAAAAGAUUGGGGCUAAGUAAGGUGUGGCGAGACACCCAGUGAUCUCAGCACUCAGGAGGAUCAGCAGUUCAAGGUCAACUACACUCCUGUAGUGAAUCUGAUACCUGCCUAGGACACCUGAGAUCCUGUCCCCAAAGUGGCUAUUUCCCAAAGACGACGGAGGAACACAAGCACAAACGUCCGGCCCAUGCUGGACAGAAAAGGCAGAGCUAAAGGAUCUCGCUCUUCAACACAGACGUGAAGAGGAUGACCUCAGUCCGUCUGCAGACACAGAUGGCCCUCAGCAUUCUGAGAGCAGAGAGAAAGCCAUGUCGCUGUCAGGGUGGACUGGAAUGCUGUGUAUAGCCACACCUGUGCCAGAUUUCCCUUAAGUUUGCCUUUGUUUGGAUUUUUAAAUGUGUUUCUUUGGCUGGUUGGUUUUAUUGAGAAUGGUUUUUAAACAGUAUCUCUGGCUAGCCAGAGACUCACUCUGUAGCCCAGGCUAAGUGUGAGAGAAUCUUGUGCUGAAGCCUCUAGAGCCACCACAGCCAGCACUGCCUUGGGUUCUGAUGAUUUACUAGUACUGUGGUUUGCAGAGACAAAGCGAGGGAUAGAGCAACCCCCUUCUGUGUGGGGUGCUCAUCUUAGGGUCAGAAAUAGAAAUAUGCUGUGUGCUUUACAAUUUCUGUGUCAUGAUUUUCAGGGUGAUGACAGUUCCCAUUAAAGGGUGACCCUGUGGUCACCGAGCUCACAGUUCACUGCAUCCCCUUAGAUCAGGCAGGUGGAGACUCUCAGUCCUUGGCCAGGUAGGGUCGACACUUCUGUUUAGUGUGAAGAAGUUUGGGAAAUGAAACCUGUUGUCAUUAAUCCUUAAGAUUACAGGAUCAAAGUUUCUGAGGAAACUGAGAAAGAUAAGAAGUCAGGGAAGGGCUGACAAGAUGGCUCACUGGUUAAGAGUACUUGCAGCAUUUACAGAGAAUCCAAACUCUGUCCCGAGCACCUACGCAGCAGCUCAAAAGCUUCUGUAAUUCCAGUCCCAGGCAUCCCACAGCCUCUUCUCAAGACAAUGCACGAACAUGGUGCACAUAUAUACACGCAGGCAAAAUACUCACCCACAUAAAAUAAAAACAAUUUUUUAAGGCAAACCCAUUAAGGGGCCAUGGGUAGGAAAGGACUCCCUGGUACCUGCUGGCUGAGAGUUCAGACAGUAACAUAGACUAGGAGCCAGGUUCACAGUCAAAAUUUGUCUUGCCCUCUUUGCCACCCAGAGACAGCAAGGAUUGCUUUGACCUUUCUUUCCUCUUUUCUUUUCUUUUGAUUCUGUGAACCUGUAAAGAGUACCUCAAGCUAUGUGAUCACCUCAUUUACUAGAAAAGUUUUUCAGGUAACUAUAUCAAAGUAACCUAAUCUUUUAAAUCCUUUGAACAAUGAAAUUCCAAAGGCCACCAAUUAUUAAGACACCUACAUGCAGAUCUCAAGAAGUCUGCACACACUCACAGGCUUAUCAUUUUUGUCUCUUUCUUAAGCGUCUCUCUCUCCUUUCUCUUCUUCUCUUCACACUUGCCUGAAAUUUAGCAUAACUUUCCUGCCUCAGCCUUUGGGUUAACAGCUAUGACCACCCAUGGAUAUAACGAAUACCUAGCUUAGACACUCUAUAGAGGUUCGAAGACCUCUGAGCCCUGUGGGAUUUAACAACUUCUGGGGUGUUUUAUACUAGGAGGUUCAGAGACACCACUAUCCAUCAUGGUGGCUAUUACCUACAAGUGGCUACUAAAUACUGGCAAUAUAACUAAUUCAGCGUGCAAAAAAAAUAUUGUAUUUAAAAAAUUAUCACUAAAAUUUCAAAAGUCAUAAAUAUUUUGGAUUGAUUAUGUGGUGAACGAUGCUAUUUUGAAUCACUUAGGCUAAA